rnacentral:rRNA from 1 species
AUCGCCUCUCGACCCCACUAAGCAUGAGAGGUCCCGCCUGCCCUGUGAUUAUAAAUUUAACGGCCGCGGUAUUUUGACCGUGCAAAGGUAGCGCAAUCACUUGUCUUUUAAAUGGAGACCUGUAUGAAUGGCAUAACGAGGGCUUGACUGUCUCCCUCUCCCAGUCAAUGAAAUUGAUCUUCCCGUGCAGAAGCGGGAAUAACUACAUAAGACGAGAAGACCCUGUGGAGCUUUAGACGAUAAAUAGUGCCUGUAAAGAUAAGCUUUAAAACAUCAAAACAAAAGGUGUAACUAUUUUAAUGUCUUCGGUUGGGGCGACCGCGGGGAAAUAAAAAACCCCCACGUGGAACAUGGACUCCUCCUUUAAACCACGAGUAACAACUCUAAGCAACAGAACAUCUGACCUAAAUUGACCCGGCUCUUGCCGAUCAACGAAACCAGUUACCCCAGGGAUAACAGCGCAAUCCUCUCCCAGAGUCCAUAUCGACGAGAGGGUUUACGACCUCGAUGUUGGAUCAGGACAUCCUAAUGGUGCAGCCGCUAUUAAGGGUUCGUUUGUUCAACGAUUAAAGUCCUACGUGAU